UCUCCUUUAAAGGAAGAAAUUGCCAUGAGGAAUGUAGUUAUCUGACAGCCUCCAGCUGCCUCAACUUUGAGGUCUUUCGCAGCAUUCACUCAAAGGCCACAUAGUCCUGGUCAAAGACUAAACAUGGCAAAGUUUCUAGAGCUGGUCCAUUCUUGCUCAUCAUAGGAUUCCUGUAAUGGGAAAUCUUUCCCCAAGGGCUCCCCAUCAGCCUAACCAAGACUUUCUCUGAGACUCUUAGUUAUUAUGAUGCUACUUCCACCAGCACCAGGGUUCUUGUUGCUAUCUGGCCGUUGAGUGAUUCAGUCCCACUGAGCAAUGUCAACCUGAUUGUCUUUCUUUGUUUUUAAGAAACAGGGUCUUGCUCUGCUGCCCAGGCUGGAGCACAGUAGUGUGAUCAUAGCUCACUACAGCCUUCAACUCCUGGGCCUUAGCAAUCCUCCUGCCUUAGCCUCCCAAGGAGCUAUGGCUGCAGGUGUCCACCACCACUCAUUGACAGCCACUUCCAGUACUCACUGUCUUGGACACAGACUUGAGUAAAAGUACAGAAACAGGGCCGACAGGACCAGAGGCUCCCCCUCCUGGGUCAGAUUAUGCAGUAAGGAGCUUCACAGAAUAUGACUGGAAAUCCACAUACCCACUUCUCUGUUUAAUUCAGGAAGCAGUUGCUAAACACAACUAACAGAGCAAAGGGCAAGAGGCCUGGAUGAAGAAAUACCCUCAGAAACUCCCACUCUUCUGGUUCCUGCUGAAGACUCCACUAAUAAAAGUUAUUCAUACCUACCUCCACCAUCUUGGCUGGGAAGUCAAGGAAGAAGAUAGCAGCCCGCAACCCAGAAGAGGGCCCUCACCAGAACCUACCAUGCUGGCACCCAGACCUCAGACUUCCAGCCUCCAGAAAUACACCAUCUGGCUGUCACCCAGGCUGGAGUGCAGUGGCCUAGUCACAGCUCACUGCAGCUUCAACUUCCCUGGCUCAAGUGAUCCUCCCUCCUCACCCUACAGGCAUGCACCACCGUGCCCAG